AAAAACUAGGUGUUUGAAGCAUGUUUUGUUUUGGUCAAAAUGGGGGUUAGGUCCAUUACCAGUUUUUA
rnacentral:tRNA from 1 species